AAGUCGUAACAAGGUUUCCGUAGGUGAACCUGCGGAAGGAUCAUUAUUGAAUAUUCUUGAUGGGUUGUAGCUGGCUCUUUGGAGCAUGUGCACGCCUGUCUUGAUUUAAUUCAUCCACCUGUGCACCUUUUGUAGUCUUGGGGGUUAAGCAGUCAACUAUCGGAUGUCAUCCGGAUGUGAGGAAUGCUGAGUGCGAAAGCAUACAGCUUUUCUCAAACUGACUUGUGGUCCCUCAAGUACUAUGUAUUCAUAUACCACUAGUAUGUUGCAGAAUGUGAUCAAUGGGCUUAUGCCUAUAAUAAUCAUAUACAACUUUCAGCAACGGAUCUCUUGGCUCUC
rnacentral:misc_RNA from 1 species